rnacentral:rRNA from 1 species
GACGAACGCUGGCGGCGUGCCUAAUACAUGCAAGUCGAGCGAAGCGGGGGCGGGUGAGGAACACGUGGAUAACCUUCUAUAAGACUGCAAUAAUUGCGGGAAACAGGAGCUAAACUGGAUAAUCAGUGAUGGUUCCGCGCUGCAUUAGCUAGUUGGUAAGGCAUCGGCUUACCAAGGUCACGAAGCAUAGCCGACCUGUUUGGGUGAUCGGCCACACAGGAACUGAAACACGGUCCAGACACCGACGGGAGGCAGCAGUAGGGAAUCUUCCGCAAAGGGCGAAAGCCUGACAGAACAACGCCGCGUGAGUGAUGAAGGUGUUCGGAUCGUAAAACUCUGUUAUUAGGGAAGCGGUACCUAAUCAGAAAGUCACGGCUAACUACGUGCCAGCAGCCGCGGUAAUUC